GGUUCUCAUACAACUACUGAAGUUAAGCAACAUCGAGCCUGGUCAGUACCUAGAUGGGUGACCACUUGGGAAUACCAGGUGUUGUAA